rnacentral:rRNA from 1 species
UGGGGAUAUUGCACAAUGGAGGAAACUCUGAUGCAGCAACGCCGCGUGAGGGAAGAAGGUUUUCGGAUUGUAAACCUCUGUCCUUGGUGAAGAUAAUGACGGUAGCCGAGGAGGAAGCUCCGGCUAACUACGUGCCAGCAGCCGCGGUAAUACGUAGGGAGCAAGCGUUGUCCGGAUUUACUGGGUGUAAAGGGUGCGUAGGCGGGAGAUCAAGUCAGUAGUGAAAGGUAUGGGCUUAACCCAUGAACGGCUAUUGAAACUGAUCUUCUUGAGUGAGUCAGAGGCAGGCGGAAUUCCCGGUGUAGCGGUGAAAUGCAUAGAGAUCGGGAGGAACACC